CUGGAGGUAUCAGAAGUGCGAAUGCUGACAUAAGUAACGAUAAAGCGGGUGAAAAGCCCGCUCGCCGGAAGACCAAGGGUUCCUGUCCAACGUUAAUCGGGGCAGGGUGAGUCGACCCCUAAGGCGAGGCCGAAAGGCGUAGUCGAUGGGAAACGGGUUAAUAUUCCCGUACUUGGUGUUACUGCGAAGGGGGGACGGAGAAGGCUAUGUUGGCCGGGCGACGGUUGUCCCGGUUUAAGCGUGUAGGUGUGUGUUCCAGGUAAAUCCGGUUCACUUUAACACUGAGGCGUGAUGACGAGGCACUACGGUGCUGAAGCAACAAAUGCCCUGCUUCCAGGAAAAGCCUCUAAGCAUCAGGUAACAUCAAAUCGUACCCCAAACCGACACAGGUGGUCAGGUAGAGAAUACCAAGGCGCUUGAGAGAACUCGGGUGAAGGAACUAGGCAAAAUGGUGCCGUAACUUCGGGAGAAGGCACGCUGACAUGUAGGUGAAGUGAUUUACUCAUGGAGCUGAAGUCAGUCGAAGAUACCAGCUGGCUGCAACUGUUUAUUAAAAACACAGCACUGUGCAAACACGAAAGUGGACGUAUACGGUGUGACGCCUGCCCGGUGCCGGAAGGUUAAUUGAUGGGGUCAGCGCAAGCGAAGCUCCUGAUCGAAGCCCCGGUAAACGGCGGCCGUAACUAUAACGGUCCUAAGGUAGCGAAAUUCCUUGUCGGGUAAGUUCCGACCUGCACGAAUGGCGUAAUGAUGGCCAGGCUGUCUCCACCCGAGACUCAGUGAAAUUGAACUCGCUGUGAAGAUGCAGUGUACCCGCGGCAAGACGGAAAGACCCCGUGAACCUUUACUAUAGCUUGACACUGAACAUUGAGCCUUGAUGUGUAGGAUAGGUGGGAGGCUUUGAAGUGUGGACGCCAGUCUGCAUGGAGCCGGCCUUGAAAUACCACCCUUUAAUGUUUGAUGUUCUAACGUGGACCCGUGAUCCGGGUUGCGGACAGUGUCUGGUGGGUAGUUUGACUGGGGCGGUCUCCUCCUAAAGAGUAACGGAGGAGCACGAAGGUUGGCUAAUCCUGGUCGGACAUCAGGAGGUUAGUGCAAUGGCAUAAGCCAGCUUGACUGCGAGCGUGACGGCGCGAGCAGGUGCGAAAGCAGGUCAUAGUGAUCCGGUGGUUCUGAAUGGAAGGGCCAUCGCUCAACGGAUAAAAGGUACUCCGGGGAUAACAGGCUGAUACCGCCCAAGAGUUCAUAUCGACGGCGGUGUUUGGCACCUCGAUGUCGGCUCAUCACAUCCUGGGGCUGAAGUAGGUCCCAAGGGUAUGGCUGUUCGCCAUUUAAAGUGGUACGCGAGCUGGGUUUAGAACGUCGUGAGACAGUUCGGUCCCUAUCUGCCGUGGGCGCUGGAGAACUGAGGGGGGCUGCUCCUAGUACGAGAGGACCGGAGUGGACGCAUCACUGGUGUUCGGGUUGUCAUGCCAAUGGCACUGCCCGGUAGCUAAAUGCGGAAGAGAUAAGUGCUGAAAGCAUCUAAGCACGAAACUUGCCCCGAGAUGAGUUCUCCCUGAGACUUAGAGUCUCCUGAAGGAACGUUGAAGACGACGACGUUGAUAGGCCGGGUGUGUAAGCGCAGCGAUGCGUUGAGCUAACCGGUACUAAUGAACCGUGAGGCUUAACCUUACA
rnacentral:rRNA from 1 species